UACAGAGGAUGCAAGCGUUAUCCGGAAUGAUUGGGCGUAAAGCGUCUGUAGGUGGCUUUUUAAGUCCGCCGUCAAAUCUCACGGCUUAACUGUGAGCGUGCGGGCGAUACGGGCAGACUAGAGUACUGCAGGGGAGGCUGGAAUUCCUGGUGUAGCGGUGGAAUGCGCAGAUAUCAGGAGGAACACCGGUGGCGAAGGCGGGUCUCUGGGCAGUAACUGACGCUGAGGAGCGAAAGCGUGGGGAGCGAACAGG
rnacentral:rRNA from 1 species